UUAAUCCAUUCAUAGAUUAAUGGAUUAAUGAAUUAAAGGGUUGUUUUGGGAGUGGCUGGCUUUAUGACAGGAAGAGAGGCCUGUGCCUGCCCAGUGAGCUCUCUCCCCACAAGAUGCCCUGUGCUGUCAUGAGACUCUGCAGUGUCCCUACCAGCAGGAAGGCUCUCCCCAAAUGCAGCCCCUUGACCCUGGACUUCCCAGCCUCCAGAACUUGAGAAGAGGAACAAAUGGAGGAACAUCCCAGUCAAGUGACAUUCCUAGUGACAUUCACCAGAACAGAGUCAAGCUUUGGAUCCCAUGUUCUGUGACUUCCUCUUCACCACGCUUCCUCCACACACGUAGCAGCUCAAGGGUUUCUGAUGAGUGGGGUCUAUGUUCCCUUUAUGAGCUGUAACGCACACCAUGAAGGUCUGCGGCUUGGCUAUUGAGUCAGUGAGAGCGUGAACCUACUAUUAGAAGAAAAACUCUGAAUACGUCUGAACGUCAGAAAGAACGAAGUUUGGACACAUUGUCUUUAAGAACUGUAACACUCACCCCAAGGGUUUAUGGAUUCAUUCUUGAAAUCAGUGAAACCAAAAGCUUUCCAAAGUUUAACACACAGGGAAAUGACUUACUGCAAAGAACCACUCUUCCCCACGAGACUUCGAGAAGACCCGCUGUCACGGACUGAGUUGUGUCCUCUUAAAAUUCAGAUGUUGGAGUCCAAACCCCCAGUAACUCAGAGUGUGAACGUAUUUGAAGAGGUCUUUAAAGAGGUGAUGAAGGUCUUUGUCUCUGACAAUUUGCCUCUGUGACGUGGAUGGGACUGGAAGUCCAUUUGGAGCCCUGUCUUCUCCACCUAGGGAGAGAGACCCCAUGAGCUCGUCAAGCUCCUUCUGUGACUGAUCAGAGAUCCCACCGUGAGUCCAGCUCCUGGUCCCAUGCUCUGGAUAUAUCGGUCCCUGGCAGCGUGCAACUCCUUAGCCAAAGACGUGGCAACUGCGGGUGAAGUAUCUCUGGGCAGGAAAUCAAUGCAGAAAUGCAACUGGGGAGAGGGGGCUUGGGGGCCAGUUCCAGGGAGAUUGGAACUGCUGUGUUCUCAUCAGCAGAAGUGGCCCCUGCCCACCCCCAUCCUAAUCCCUUCUCAUGUGGGAGAAGGUCUGUGAGCCCUCUCCCUACCAGGCAGGUUCUAUGGCAAUGUGGGCACAUACCCUGGGGCAGGGGCCGAGGGACUUAACUCACUUCAUGAGCGCCAAUGGAGGAGCGAAGGGAAUGCCUGAUGAAAACAACAUUCUACCAGUAUGCACUGUUUUCUAACCUACAGAGUGCCUCUGUGUUCACUGUCCCAUUUGAGAAUUCUAAGUAGAAUUCUGAACAGGCUGGAGCAGAUUGCCCACCCCAAGGGACAGAUGUUGGCUGGUACUGUUGGUAUUCAUGGAAGAUUCCUUCUGACACUCCCUCCUUCUUUGUAAUUGCCAUGAACUGGAGCACUGGGCCAAUAUAAAUCAUCCAAGGGUGAACACGCUGCACAUGGACGGCUCCUCUUUGUUUUUGAAGGGAUUCCAUCUCUAUUUUGCCAUGUGCUCCUUCACCCCACUCCCCACCCCCGUCUUUCAUUUCUUUCUCUGGAAAAGAUACUUCAACUCACAGGACUGCGAUGUUGAAACGGACACCCAAGAGCAUCACAGAUGGGCCAGGCCUGGACCUCUCGGGACAACAUUCCUCACGACUUUUAGAUAGAAGAGAUUAGAGAUUUGGGACUGGUGGCAACUGGUAACGUUUUCAGUGUUUGGUAAACAGCCAGGGUCCGGAGCUCUGGGAACAGCCUGAUUUAGCUCUUUGUUUAAGUUUUGUGUUAGAGGCUCCCAAGAAGCUGAUGCAGGGGAAAGAAAUUAACAACCAUGGCUCAUUCACAGCCAGGCAGCCAAAUGGACAGCUCUAUAAGACUCAAGCCGACAGCGGAGAGAGUGCAACCAAACAGCCUUGGCCCAGCUUUCAGAGGAGAACGUUAUUCACCCCAACUGCUCUGCAUCUGCCUGGAUGUCUGCCAAGAUCUGUGAGCAUUACAGCGUUGGUAUGCUUUGGGUGAGGCCUGUGGCUAUGGCAACAAGUUGGGAGCAACCCGGUCCCUGGGAAUGAGAACAGUGUCUAAAAUCAGGCAGGCGAGGGGCAGGGAGGAGAGGUAAAGGUUGGACUUGCCUGAAGAUGGAGCCGUUUUAUUGUUGUGGGUAAAGCUGCUACCAUUAGGGGCUGUUUACAGAGUGGGUGCAGCUCAAGCUGGGAGCAUGUUAGACUCAGCGACUACGAUCAACCUAUUGACUUGUUCCCAUGAGACAGAGUAAAUUAACUGUUGCAGUACUGGUCAUGUACCACCAACCUCCUGUGAACCAGCCCUCAGUGAAACAUUUAUGUGAAAGGCCAUGGUGUUCCCAUAAGAGGGUGCAUGUUCUCUCCCUUGACUAACUCUUCAGUAUGCCUCAUUCUCACGCGCUGGUGUGCAGGAAGGAGUCCAACAUGCCCCAUUGACAGUCAUGCCCUGUAUGUGGAAAGUCUUCAGGUAGAGCACUGGGCUCAGGUUUGAAGAUGUGAGUUCUAAUCCUAGCAAGGCCAUUACCUCCCAGUGACCUCAUGUCUCGAUUUCCUCAACCACAAAACAAAGGCAUUGGUGAGCUGACCUCUAAGGCCUCUCCAGUUCUCACCUUCUGUGUCUCUACAGACUGGAGACUAGAAGAUUAUGGGCACUUUUAUUGAGUCUUCAUUUUGUUUCCAUUUCUUUGUAGUCAUCAGCUGGAGUUGAGGACAAGUUUUAACAAUAGAUAGGUUUCUUUUUGUCUCUUUUUAAAAAAUUUUAUUUAAAAUAAAUGCCAAGUGUAGUGGCUCAUACCUGUAAUCCCAGCACUUUGGGGAGGCCAAGGUGGGAGGAUUGCUUUUGAGUUUGAGACCAGCCUGGGCAACGUGGUGAGACCCUGUUUGUACAAAAAAUUUUAAAUUAGCCAGGCAUGGUGGCGUGUGCCUAUAGUCCUAGCUACUCUGGAGGUAGAGGCAGGAGGAUCCCUUGAACCUGGGAGGUUGAGGCCACAGUGAGCUGUGAUUGUGCUAUUGAACUCUAGCCUGGGCAACAGAGCAAGACCCUGUCUCUUAAAAAAGACUAUUUUUUAAGAACACUUUUAGGUUCACAGCGAAAUUUGGAGGAAACUUGGCAUAUGUCAUAUGCCCCCUGCUCCCAUGCAUGCACAGCCUCUACCAUUAGCAAUGUCCCCACUCAAAUGGUACCUUUGUUGUAAUCAACAACCCUGUACUGACACAUCAUCAUCACCCAAACUCCAUAGUUCACAUUAGGUUUCACUCUUGGUGUGGUGUACAUUCCAUGGGCUUGAACAACUGUAUAAUGACAUUAUCCACCACUGCAGGAUCAUACAGAGUAGUCUCACUGCCCUAAAACUACUCUGUGCUCCACCUGUUUGUCCCUUCUUUCACUCUAAACUCCUGGCAACAACUGACCUUUUUACUGCCUCGAUAGCUUUGCCUUCUUCGGAAUGUCAUGUAGUUGAAAUCAUACAUCAUGAAGCCUUUUCAGAUUGGCUUCAUAUAGGUUUCCUUCCUUCCUUCCUCCCACCACCUUCCUUUCUUUCUGUAUUCCUAACUCUUGGAUGUAUUUUCCCCAGCAUCAUGACUUGAUGGGACUUUUGCUAAGAUAGGCAAUCAUAGAAAGUCAUAAAUCUCUUGUCAGCCUUAUUGGCUCACCUCCGAGAUGGUUCCAACACUCUUUAAGGCCCACUUUUCCAAUCCACAGAUUCCCCAGCAGAAGUCCAAGCUGCUGAGCCUCACAUCAUCUUUUGCACUAGUAAUCUUUACCACUACUUCACUGUAGCAUUUGAAAAUUUUCAUAUGAAGCCAUAGUUCUGUGUCUUUUUUUUUUUUUUUUUUUUUUUGGAGACGGAGUCUUAACCUGUUGCCCAGGCUGGAGUGCAGUGGCACAGUCUUAGCUCACUGCAAGCUCCGCCUCACGGGUUCAAGUGAUUCUUGCCUCAGCCUCCCAAGUAGCUGGGAUUACAGGCGCGCCACCAUGCCCAGCUAAAUUUGUUGGCAUUUUUAGUAGAGAUGGGGUUUCACCAUGUUGGCCAGGCUGGUCUCAAACUCCUUACCUCAGGUGAUCUGCCUGCCUCAGCCUCCCAAAGUGCUGGGAUUAAAGGUGUGAGCCACCGCACCUGGCCUGAAGCCAUAGUUCUUAACCUCAGUUGUGCAAUAGAAUUAUCUGGGGAAUUUAAAAAUUAGAAAAAACCCAUGCCCUGAAGAUUGUGAUCUAACUGGUCUUGCGUAGCGCCUGGGCAUUGGUAUUUUUUAAAUGUUUCCCAACUGAUACUAAUGUGGCCAUUCUGCAAGCCACAGUUGAAAGGCUUAUUCAAGCAUCCUGUUGCUGAAUGCAUGUCGUCCUUACCACAUGACUCUGGAGGUUUUCUUGUAUUCUGAUGUGGCUGCCCUGUUGAGGCCUGCCCCUUAGAGUGGAGAUUAUCCCCUGCAGUAGGCUGCCUGGAAUAUGAUCCCCAGUGAUCCCUGCUUCCUGGUAUUCAGGCCCUGGUGUGAUCCCUUUCCCUUGAAGCCUGGGCUGGAUUAGUGACUUGCUUCUAACCAACAGCAUAUGGCAAAAAUAAAUGUUUAUUGUUUUAAA
rnacentral:lncRNA from 1 species